CGUGUAGGCGGCCAAACAGGUCCGUUGUGAAAACUGGAGGCUCAACCUCCAGACGUCGACGGAAACCGUGUGGCUAGAGUCCGGAAGAGGAGAGUGGAAUUCCUGGUGUAGCGGUGAAAUGCGCAGAUAUCAGGAAGAACACCAAUGGCGAAGGCAGCUCUCUGGGACGGUACUGACGCUGAGACGCGAAAGCGUGGGGAGCGAACA
rnacentral:rRNA from 1 species